rnacentral:rRNA from 1 species
AACGAACGCUGGCGGCAUGCCUAACACAUGCAAGUCGAACGAGACCUUCUGGUUUAGUGGCGCACGGGUGCGUAACGCGUGGGAACCUGCCCUUAGGUUCGGAAUAACUCCCCGAAAGGGGUUCUAAUACCGGAUAAUGUCUUCGGACCAAAGAUUUAUCGCCUUUGGAUGGGGCCGCGUUGGAUUAGCUAGUUGGUAGGGUAAAAGCCUACCAAGGCGACGAUCCAUAGCUGGUCUGAGAGGAUGAUCAGCCACACUGGGACUGAGACACGACCCAGACUGCUACGAGAGGCAGCGGUGAGGAAUAUUGGAGAAUGGGCGAGAGGCUGAUACAGCAAUGCCGGGUGAGUGAUGAAGGGGUUAGGGUUGUAAAGCUCUUUUAACCGGGAUGAUAAUGACAGUACCGGGAGAAUAAGCACCGGCUAACUACGUG